GCUCAUCUUCAGCCCCUUCAACAUCAUACUCAUUGCAGUCAUUUAUAACAAAAGACCCACUUCCUCCACAUGAGGACAAAGGUGGGCAGGAAUCAGGGUAAAGCUCUCGUGCCAAGGCCUCCUCCUGGUUAAUGAUAGCGAGCCAAGUUGCACUCUCCUUUGCUGUCAUCUUGUCCUGCAAGCACUUAGACUGCCUUACAAGCUUGCGAAUCUUGGCAAUAUCAGGAGACAUAUGCUUGAUUACUGCCGUGAGAACCCCCACUUUCCAUGCCUUCUUCAAGUCAUGAGGUU
rnacentral:lncRNA from 1 species